GGAGGUUAAAGUCAGUAAGGAAAUCUAUGAUCGAGCUACUGUAGAGGUUCUUAUCCAGCCCAAAAUGGGGCUUCCAGGAGUGCGAGAGAGCAGUGUGAGACGUGCCAGGCUGCUCUUCUGCUGACGCUUCGUCCUCGUUCUUCUGUCACAGUCAUCCUGCAGGUCAUCCACGAUGAUGGCUCUCUGCUGUCGUGCUGCCUGAAUGCAGCCUGUAUGGCUCUAAUGGAUGCCAGGCUGCCCAUGAGCCACCUUUUUUGUAGUGUGACCUGUGCUAUUAGCAAAGAAGGCCAGAUAAUCAUUGAUCCCACGGCUCGGAGAAGCCGGAGAAGGAAUGUCGAGCGUUGUUAAUAUUUGCUAUUGAGAGUGUUGAGUGCAAUGUUUUGAUGUCAUCAGCCACAGGCUCUUUUUCAGUCCAGGAGGUG